rnacentral:rRNA from 1 species
AACGAACGCUGGCGGCAUGCCUAACACAUGCAAGUCGAACGAGAUCUUCGGGUCUAGUGGCGCACGGGUGCGUAACGCGUGGGAAUCUGCCCUUUGGUUUGGAAUAACAGUUGGAAACGACUGCUAAUACCGGAUGAUGACGAAAGUCCAAAGAUUUAUCGCCAGAGGAUGAGCCCGCGUAGGAUUAGCUAGUUGGUGUGGUAAUGGCGCACCAAGGCGACGAUCCUUAGCUGGUCUGAGAGGAUGAUCAGCCACACUGGGACUGAGACACGGCCCAGACUCCUACGGGAGGCAGCAGUGGGGAAUAUUGGACAAUGGGCGAAAGCCUGAUCCAACAAUGCCGCGUGAGUGAUGAAGGCCUUAGGGUUGUAAAGCUCUUUUACCCGGGAUGAUAAUGACAGUACCGGGAGAAUAAGCUCCGGCUAACUCCGUGCCAGCCGCCGCCGUAA